AGGAACGUUACAGGCUGCAGUCCAUGGGGUCACAAAGAGCUGGACACGACUUAGCAACUAAAGAACAGCAAGCGUUAGCGUGCUUUCUCCACACAGGUUGCAUCCUGGAGGUCGCUCCGAAUGGUUCUCAGAGCUCUUCCGUGUUCCGCGCGGCUUGGCCCUGUGGCUGUGGUGCGGGUAACCCACCUGCUCCCUGCUCCUUGUUACGUGGUUACAGGUGGUAAUUGCACCCUUCCAGCCUGUUACGUGGUUACAGGUGGUUCUUAGCAGGAAGUCUGGAGUGUGUGGGCUGUGCGUCUUCCUCUACCCCGAGCAUCUAACAUGAGGCCCUGAUCAGAGCUCCAUGCUUGGAGGGAGGCAUUGCAGGGAAACCUGGUCAGAGUUGGAGUCUGCACAGAGCCUGUCCCUGCCUCCUGUCUCUCCGUCCUGGUACCCAGAGGAGCACAGUAUGGAAGGAAGGAUGUCGGCGCCCUGUGGACCCACAGAGAUUUCUCGGAGAGGAGGAAAUAGCCCAGGUUUACAGCGGCUUUCUUCAGUUAUUAAAUAUUGAAGAGGACAAGUGUUCCUGGGAGGAGAUGGCGGAGGGAUGAAGAAUGGGAGAGCGCGGCGCACCCUGGCUCAGGCCCGGCGGCAGGAGGCUAAAUUUGUUAAAGAAGCACAUGAAUAAAUGAAAAGCCACCAUCCAUUUUCA